UUGUAGGCUGCAGAGCACAAGCUGAGAGUUGGGAAGAAGGGUUACUGUUACAGGAGAGCAACUCCAUCUCUUCUGCCUUCCCUCCUUGAAGUCUCCAGCUACUGCUGCAAACUAUAAAACCUGGACAGAAUGCUUGGAGUGGCUAUUUGAGGACUCUGAAAAGUAAAUAGUAGGAGGCAGAUUGGGGAAGAAGACCAGAAUUCAAAGUACCACUGAAGCGGCGGAAUGAACAGGAAGAUAGGAAGUCUCAACAAAGAAAUAGAAGACAUAAAGAAGAACUAACUGGAAAUUUUAGAACUGAGAAAUAAAGCAAUAGAAACGAAAAACUCACUGGAUGGGCUCAAUAGCAGAGUGGACUUGACAGAUAAUAAAUAAAUACACAGAGUCUCAGGGAUCUAAGAGAUAGUAUCACAAUAUCACAAGGUGAAACAUUUAUGUCAUCAGAGACAGAUUGAGAAGAAAACGAAUGUGAUGCAGCAAAAAUAUUUGAAGAAAUAAUGAUAUAUAGGUUGGAGGAAGAAAUAAAAUUGUUCCUAUUUGUAUAUGACAUGAUGGUAUGGUAUAUGUAGAAAAUCCCAAGGAAUUCACAAAAAAAAAAUUCCUAAAAUGACUUAGCAAGAGAUUCAAGGAAACCCAAAAAAGCAAUCAUUUUUUAUUUAUUUUAAAGAUUUAUUUUUUAAAUUUAUGCAUACAAGAACUGGGGUAUAGGCCAGAGA